UACGUAGGGGGCAAGCGUUGUCCGGAAUUAUUGGGCGUAAAGAGCGCGUAGGCGGUCCGAUAAGUCGGCUGUGAAAGUCAAGGGCUCAACCCUUGAAAGCCGGCCGAUACUGUCGGACUAGAGUCCGGAAGAGGCGAGUGGAAUUCCCGGUGUAGCGGUGAAAUGCGCAGAUAUCGGGAGGAACACCAAUGGCGAAGGCAGCUCGCUGG
rnacentral:rRNA from 1 species